CCUAUAACAUAUUUAUUAUAUUUAAAGAGUUAGGGCCACAUGUGCAAGAGUGACCCCUUCCCAGAUUUAUUAAGAAUAAACCCUCACUUAUGGUGAAGGAAUACCUUGGUUAUAAAUCAAGCAUAUAAAAAAUACACAACAAGCAAUAUGCCACA